rnacentral:rRNA from 1 species
UACGAAGGGGGCUAGCGUUGUUCGGAUUUACUGGGCGUAAAGCGCACGUAGGCGGAUCGAUCAGUCAGGGUGAAAUCCCAGAGCUCAACUCUGGAACUGCCUUUGAUACUGUCGAUCUGGAGUAUGGAAGAGGUGAGUGGAAUUCCGAGUGUAGAGGGUGAAAAUUUCGUAGAUAUUCGGAGGAACACCAGUGGCGAAGGCGG